UGAUCGAGAUGAUCCGCAAAAAUCCGGAUUCACGUCGCCUGAUCGUCAGUGCGUGGAAUCCCGCCGACGUCGACAAGAUGGCGCUGCCUCCGUGUCACUGCCUGUUCCAGUUCUAUGUCGCUAACGGAAAAUUGUCCUGCCAACUGUACCAGCGUUCGGCGGACGUAUUUCUCGGCGUGCCGUUCAACAUCGCGUCCUAUGCGCUGCUGACCAUGAUGGUGGCGCAGGUGACUGGGCU
rnacentral:misc_RNA from 1 species